ACGUACGCUGGCGGCACGCCUAACACAUGCAAGUCGAACGAAGUAGCAAUACUUAGUGGCAGACGGGUGAGUAACAUGUAGGUAUCUGCCCUUUGGCCUGGAAUAACACGAGGAAACUUGUGCUAAUACCGGAUAAGUCUUUACGGAGAAAGCUUUAUGCACCAUUGGAUGAGCCUGCACUUGAUUAGUUUGUUGGUGGGGUAAUGGCCUACCAAGACUGUGAUCAAUAGCUGAUUUGAGAGGAUGAUCAGCCACAUUGGGACUGAGACACGGCCCAAACUCCUACGGGAGGCAGCAGUGGGGAAUCUUGCACAAUGGAGGAAACUCUGAUGCAGCGAUGCCGCGUGAGUGAAGAAGGCCUUUGGGUUGUAAAGCUCUUUCGUCGGGGAAGAAAAUGACUGUACCCGAAUAAGAAGGUCCGGCUAACUUCGUGCCAGCAGCCGCGGUAAUACGAAGGGACCUAGCGUAGUUCGGAAUUACUGGGCUUAAAGAGUUCGUAGGUGGUUGAAAAAGUUAGUGGUGAAAUCCCAGAGCUUAACUCUGGAACUGCCAUUAAAACUUUUCAGCUAGAGUAUGAUAGAGGAAAGCAGAAUUUCUAGUGUAGAGGUGAAAUUCGUAGAUAUUAGAAAGAAUACCAAUUGCGAAAGGCAGCUUUCUGGAUCAUUACUGACACUGAGGAACGAAAGCAUGGGUAGCGAAGAGGAUUAGAUACCCUCGUAGUCCAUGCCGUAAACGAUGUGUGUUAGACGUUGGAAAUUUAUUUUCAGUGUCGCAGCGAAAGCGAUAAACACACCGCCUGGGGAGUACGACCGCAAGGUUAAAACUCAAAUGAAUUGACGGGGACCCGCACAAGUAGUGGAGCAUGUGGUUUAAUUCGAAGAUACGCGCAGAACCUUACCAACACUUGACAUGUUCGUCGCGACUCUAAGAGAUUAGAGUUUUCGGUUCGGCCGGACGAAACACAGGUGCUGCAUGGCUGUCGUCAGCUCGUGUCGUGAGAUGUUGGGUUAAGUCCCGCAACGAGCGCAACCCUCACUUUUAGUUGCCAUCAUUAAGUUGGGCACUCUGAAAGAACUGCCAGUGAUAAGCUGGAGGAAGGUGGGGAUGACGUCAAGUCCUCAUGGCCCUUACGUGUUGGGCUACACACGUGCUACAAUGGUAUUUACAACAGGAAGCAAGACUGCGAAGUUAAGCAAAUCCCUAAAAGAUACCUCAGUUCGGAUUGCACUCUGCAACUCGAGUGCAUGAAGCUGGAAUUACUAGUAAUCGUGGAUCAGCGUGCCACGGUGAAUGCGUUCCCGGGUCUUGUACACACCGCC
rnacentral:rRNA from 1 species